GGUCAUGUAGCUUAGUAGUAGAGUGAAUGCUUAGCAUGCAUGAGGUCCCAGGUUCAAUCCCCAGCAUCUCCA
rnacentral:tRNA from 1 species